rnacentral:rRNA from 1 species
AGAAUCAACGCUGGCGGCGUGCCUCAGACAUGCAAGUCGAACGCGAAAGUCUCCUUCGGGGGACAAGUAGAGUGGCGCACGGGUGAGUAACACGUAGGUAAUCUACCUUCGGGUGGGGAAUAACAACCGGAAACGGUUGCUAAUACCGCAUAAUGCAGCGGCACCUAAUGGUGACAGUUGUUAAAGCGGGGGAUCGCAAGAUCUCGCGCCUGAAGAGGAGCCUGCGGCGGAUUAGCUAGUUGGUAGGGUAAUGGCCUACCAAGGCGACGAUCCGUAGCCGGCCUGAGAGGGCGGUCGGCCGACACUGACACUGACAUACGGUCAGACUCCUACGGGAGGCAGCAGUCGGGAAUUUUGGGCAAGUGGGCGAAAGCCUGACCCAGCAACGCCGCGUGAAGGAUGAAUCCCGUGGAUGAAACUUCGCAAGAACGGAGAAUAGUAGGAGUAAUCCUCAUGAUGACGUCGUUGUAGUCUCGCUACUCGU